GGGCGAUUAGCUCAGUUGGUUUAGAGCGCAUGUUUGACAGACAUGAGGUCGGCGGUUCGAAUCCGCCAUCGCCCA
rnacentral:tRNA from 1 species